UACGACCGCAAGGUUGAAACUCAAAGGAAUUGACGGGGGCCCGCACAAGCGGUGGAGCAUGUGGUUUAAUUCGAAGCAACGCGAAGAACCUUACCAGGUCUUGACAUCCUUUGACCACUCUGGAGACAGAGCUUUCCCUUCGGGGACAAAGUGACAGGUGGUGCAUGGUUGUCGUCAGCUCGUGUCGUGAGAUGUUGGGUUAAGUCCCGCAACGAGCGCAACCCUUGAUUUUAGUUGCCAGCAUUUAGUUGGGCACUCUAAAGUGACUGCCGGUGCAAGCCGGAGGAAGGUGGGGAUGACGUCAAAUCAUCAUGCCCCUUAUGACCUGGGCUACACACGUGCUACAAUGGAUAGUACAAAGGGUCGCGAAGCCGCGAGGUGGAGCUAAUCCCAUAAAACUAUUCUCAGUUCGGAUUGUAGGCUGCAACUCGCCUACAUGAAGCCGGAAUCGCUAGUAAUCGUGGAUCAGCAUGCCACGGUGAAUACGUUCCCGGGCCUUGUACACACCGCCCGUCACACCACGAGAGUUUGUAACACCCGAAGUCGGUAGGGUAACCUUUAUGGAGCCAGCCGCCGAAGGUGGGACAGAUAAUUGGGGUGAAGUCGUAACAAGGUAGCCGUAUCGGAAGGUGCGGCUGGAUCACCUCCUUUCUAAGGAA
rnacentral:rRNA from 1 species